rnacentral:lncRNA from 10 species
CGUUCUGAGGGGGACCAACCUCUGUGCCUCCUCACCUCCUGCCCAGGGGCUCAUUUUCCCAAGGGGCUUGGCCGACUGCCCACAGGCUGGAGAUCCCUGGACCCCCGAGAGGGUGCUGGCCAGGUGGGGAGCCUUUCCAAGGACGGCAGCAGGCAAGAGCAUGCCCUUCUCUGAGAAGAGCCCUCAGUCCUAUUUCCACCCCUUCGAACAUGGAAGGCAGCAGGCAAGAGCAUCCCCUUCUCCGAGAAGAGCCCUCAGUCCUAUUUCCACCCCUUCGAACACCAGCCCUGCCUCCCCUCCAGCCCAGGAUGGGUAGACGCAGGCCUGCAGUGCCUGGCUCAGAUGCUCGUGGAGUCCAGUCUCCUGCCCACAAAUUGCUGUGUCCAAUAGCAGCCCAUCCAUCGGGACCACGGCCAUCUCCGCACUUCAGACAAAGCUCCUCCUCCUUGAUUAAGUGGGAAUGGAGGGCCAGUUUCAAAGGCAAUGAGCCUUCCCAAAGCAAAGGACUUAGGAUUCCCAGGUAGGGGGUCCCUGGCCUCCCAGCCACCAGGGUGACUCCUGACUGCUGAACCAAAGCUGGGGUCAGAUGCCACACGUGAAACAUGGCAGGAGGUGUCUGGCUGGCUGGCAGGGGAGUCUGUGCCUAUUCUCUUCUUCAAACUAUAAAAAAUACAACAAAUUCAGCAGCCCAGAGGGAAUAAGAGAAAGACCCUUCACUCCUCCCCACUGUGGGGUGUAGAUGCAUGCAGUACACUGAGAGGUUCCGGCUCCUGGCCUGCCCGUCCCCAGCCCCAGCUCAGGAACUGGUUCAUCUGCAGGCCCUAGGAGCUCAGCCAUGGCUCCCAGCGCGUGGUGGCUGAUGGGCAGAGCUCGGAUGGUCUGGGUGUGAACCGGAAUGGAAGGAGCUCAGCCAUGGCUCCCAGCGCGUGGUGGCUGAUGGGCAGAGCUCGGAGGGUCUGGGUGUGAACCGGAAUGGAAAGAGCUCGGCCGUGGCUCCCAGCGCGUGGUGGCUGAUGGGCAGAGCUCGGACGGUCUGGGUGUGAACCGGAAUGGAAGGAGCUCGGCCGUGGCUCCCAGCGCGUGGCGGGCUGUCCUGGGAUGCUGGGACCUGCAGUCAGCUGCCACUCUGGUCCCAAUGGUUGGGGGACAUGAGGCUGGUUCAGGGGGAGGUUUGGGAACAAGGGGAGUUGGGGAGCAGGCGCCGCGCCAGGUGGGAGGUGGAGCCUAGCACGGCAGUGCUGCUGAACACCAGCUACAGUUCCCUGAGGGUCACCCAGCCAGUCCAUGCCUGCUGCAGAGAGGCCUGGGGCCAGGCUCGCCUGCUGGACAGAGACCCCUCUGGGAGAAGGUGAGUUUCUGGGAGCAGGGGCCUCCCAGCCAGGCCCUCCCAGGCUGUGGUUCUGAUCGAGCCUGCCUCCCCCACUCCCCUGCAGCCCAUUGCAGCUGGCUCAGGCCAGUGGACUGGACCAGAGCUGAAAUCCCGGAGCCCUUCAUGAGUCCCAGACGCUUGGCAGGCCCUACAGCCAGGCCAAGGCACACACGUUUGUUCUAACUGUGGAUCUGGUGUCUGUGGGCAGAGCAUAGGCUGCGAGGGACUCAGGCCGUGUUUGGUCCAGCAGCAGAGACGUUGCCUCGGGGAUGAGGCAGACGGCACCAGAGCUCCCCAGGGCCAGGGCAACAGGGGAAGAGGCAGCAUGCCUGGGGCCUCCAGGAGGCAGACAGGCUGGGCCUGCGGCUGCGCUGACACCCACGUGCCUUUCCAAGGUGCUGACCUGCAGAGGAGCCAGGGGAGCCAUUCGACGGGAGGAGACCCCAUCCAUUCCCUCCUCAAACUGCUCCGUGCAACCUGGGAAUGACUCUGAACUCGUGUGCCCUUGAGGGUGGGAGCAGGGACUGCAGAGGCUCCUGGCUGGGGAAGGACGUCAGUGGCUCUGGUGGCAGAUCGGUUAGAGCCCCGCGGUGGAGACAAGCUGCCGCCCAGAGAAUCGUGCUGCCUCAUGCUCCCAGCAGAGGCGGGCGUGCUGGUGGGAGGAUUCCCCGUUUAUUCCAGACACCCUCCGUGGGCUCAUCUUUUCCACAACACAGCCCAGGAGGGAAGGAAAUCGCAGUUCAUGCUAUAGACACGAAAGAGAUCGUGACAGCUGCGAUACGAAUUCCUAGUUAGCCACCUUGCUGGUCCAGGAAAGACAGCAGAAACAGAAUAAAGGAAAGCUAGAAAGCAAACAAAACAAAGCAAUGUCAAGCCCGCAGUUGGCUGUUGUGAGCUUCUGUGGUGCCAUUGUGAGCUGCGUGGUGCCGUUGUGAGCUUGUGUGGCGCCGUUGGGAGCUGCGCGGUGCCGUUGGGAGCUGUGCGGCGCUGUUGUGAGCUUGUGUGGUGCUGUUGGGAGCUGCGUGGUGCUGUUGGGAGCUGUGCGGCGCUGUUGGGAGCUGUGCGGCGCUGUUGUGAGCUUGUGUGGUGCUGUUGUGAGCUUGUGUGGUGCUAUUGUGAGCUUGUGUAGUGCUAUUGUGAGAUUGCAUUGCAUUGUUGUGAGCUGCAUGGUGCUGUUGGGAGCUGUGUGGUGCUUUUGUGAAGUGCAUGGUUCUGUUGUGAGCUUCAUGUUGCUGUUGUGAGCUUGUGUGCUGUUGUGAGCUUGUGUGGUGCUGUUGUGAGCUGUGUGGUAUGAGCUUGUGUGGGGCUGUUGUGAGCUUGCAUGGCAUUGUUGUGAGCUGCGUGGUACUGUCGUGAGCUGUGUGGUGCUGUUGUGAGCUUGUGUGGUGCUGUCGUGAGCUGCGUGGUACUGUCGUGAGCUUGUGUGGUGCUGUCGUGAGCUGUGUGGUGCUGUUGUGAGCUUGUGUGGUGCUGUUGUGAGCUUGUGUGGUGUUAUUGUGAGCUUGUGUGGUACUGUCAUGAGCUGUGUGGUGUUGUCAUGAGCUGUGUGGCGCUGUUGUGAGCUGUGUGUUGCUGUUGUGAGCUUGUGUGGUGGUGUGAGCUUGUGUCGUGCUGUUGUGAGCUGUGCGGUGUUGUGAGCAUGUUUGGUGCUGUCACGAGCUAUGUGGUGCUAUUGUGAGCUGUGUGGCGCUGUUGUGAGCUUGUGUGGUGCAGUUGUGAGCUGUGUGGUGCUGUCGUGAGCUGUGUGGUGCUGUCGUGAGCUGUGUGGUGCAGUUGUGAGCUGUGUGGUGUUGUCGUGAGCUGUGUGGUGCAGUCGUGAGCUGUGUGGUGCAGUCGUGAGCUGUGUGGUGCAGUCGUGAGCUGUGUGGUGUUGUCGUGAGCUGUGUGGUGCUGUCGUGAGCUGUGUGGUGUUGUCGUGAGCUGUGUGGUGCUGUCGUGAGCUGUGUGGUGUUGUCGUGAGCUGUGUGGUGCAGUUGUGAGCUGUGUGGUGCUGUCGGGAGCUGUGUGGUGUUGUCGUGAGCUGUGUGGUGCAGUUGUGAGCUAUGUGGCGCUGUCGGGAGCUGUGUGGCGCUGUUGUGAACUGUGUGGUGUUGUGAGCUUGUGUGGUGCUGUUGUGAGCUGCGUGGUGCUGUCGUGAGUUUGUGUGGUGUUGUGACUGCCCAGGGUGACGCAGCGUUGACCGAUGAUGAGGCACCUGAUACAGAUAAGUCCUAACAUAUUCCCUGGUGCAAUUUACCAGAAAGGCUGAAAGGCUGGGCCGCACUGCAGGGUCCCUCACCAAGGGAAAAUCUCCCCAGGGCAUGGAUGGGGUUUCCGGCUGUGUCACGUGGCUCCUGCCACCACUCAGUGAAGCCCUAAGGGUCCUCUGGCUUUAGAGUUUGAUAAUUUGCUCCGAUUGCCUCUAACAGAGGGCCUGUCUCCAUCCACCCCAUCACCACAGGUGGGUCAGUCGCUCCAGGUGGGACAGACAUCGGCUGCACAAGGACCACGGCAAAUCUGCCCCCAGGACGCUUCCAAAGAGGGCAGUGGGGUCACUCAGUGCCCGUGAACGCUCAGGGUCACUCAACGUCUGUGAACGCUCAGGCACCAUGCUGAGUAGCCACCAGGUCAGCAGCCCCGGGUGCGGCCCCCAGACAGGAAGGGUGGGCUCCUGCUUUAGCCUGGCAUUGUCUUUGCUUCUGUUCUUCCUUCUGGUGACUUCCACCUUGGAACCUGGGAGCUGGAACGGUGCACACCCCAGUGUUGUCAGAAACAUCCUCCAAAGCCUCCAUACACUGCUCCCCUUGGAAGGACAGGAAGAGGCUCUAUCUCCGACUCCCUGAGGGAUCUCACCCCUGCUGGGCAGGUAAGUGGCAGACCUGGGACAGAAGACUGUGAAAAGUGGCAGAGGCCAGGAGCACAAACGCACCGGUCACAGUGUCAGGGGAGCACUGGGUGGUGUCACAAGGGAUGUGAGCUUUUGUCUGUUGUGUGUCUGUAUGUGUGUUUUAACAGUAAGAUUGGGUUCGGGCAAAAUCUAAGGGAAUAAAAAGCAGGGGAGUGGCUGUGUGUGAAUCUGGAGCACAGGUGGCCAUGCAGUGACAUUAAAAUUAGGUCAAAGGAAAGACUAGAGCCAGGGGCGAAGGCGGGAGCGUGGUAGGAAGUGGGGACGGCCUGGCCAAGGCCCCGCCAGACCACAAAGCUCAGGCCCAGACCGCAGAAGGCCGAUAAGAGCGUUCCGGAAAUCAGCUCUGUCUCGGAAAGAGCCAGGCCCAUGGGCUCCUGGCCGUGGGCAACCAAGGCUGAGUCAAAGCCACGUUCUCAAGAGAAUCCAGUGCAAUUAUGCAGAGACUCAUUUAAAAUGACAAGUACUUUUUAAAAGUCACUCUCUGAAAAUGACAUUCAAACCAAUUAUCAUUAAGGGAAGAUGUAAGUUAGCUUUGUUUAAAAAAAAAAGAAGGUGGAGAAGAAUAAAAAUCUGUUUUUAGAUACUUUGUAUGUUGCAGUUUAGAAAUACUCCUGCUGAAUAAAACCUACAGGAAAUGGAAGCAGAGGCGUGUGCAGCCAGCUCAGGAGGGAGGAGGUGAGCUUUGCUUUGCCUGAGUGCUGGUGAGAUUUUGCCACCG